CGAAGGGUGCUAGCGUUGUUCGGAAUUACUGGGUUUAAAGGGUGCGUAGGCGGGCUAUUAAGUCAGUGGUGAAAGCCCCAAGCUUAACUUGGGAACUGCCAUUGAUACUGAUGGUCUUGAGUACAUUUGAGGUGGGCGGAAUGUGUCAUGUAGCGGUGAAAUGCUUAGAUAUGACACAGAACACCGAUUGCGAAGGCAGCUCACUAAACUGUAACUGACGCUGAGGCACGAAAGCGUGGGGAGCAAACAGGAUUAGAUACCCUGGUAGUCCACGCCCUAAACGAUGAUCACUCGAUGUGUGCGAUAUACUGUACGCGUCUGAGCGAAAGCAUUAAGUGAUCCACCUGGGGGAGUACGACCGCAAGGUUG
rnacentral:rRNA from 1 species